rnacentral:ncRNA from 1 species
ACUCCGAAAAGUGCGGCCCGCCGCACGCCGAAGGUGCAACCUGUCAUGCUAUACACAACAGGGAAUCUCUCAGGUAAUAAAACGGAGGCACA